GAUACCGCCCUAGUUCUAACCAUAAACGAUGCCAACCAGCGAUCCGCCUGGGUUCCUCAAAUGACUCGGCGGGCAGCUUCCGGGAAACCAAAGUGUUUGGGUUCCGGGGGAAGUAUGGUUGCAAAGCUGAAACUUAAAGGAAUUGACGGAAGGGCACCACCAGGAGUGGAGCCUGCGGCUUAAUUUGACUCAACACGGGAAAACUUACCCGGCCCGGACACUGGAAGGAUUGACAGAUUAACAGCUCUUUCUUGAUUCAGUGGGUGGUGGUGCAUGGCCGUUCUUAGUUGGUGGAGCGAUUUGUCUGGUUAAUUCCGAUAACGAACGAGACUCUAGCCUACUAAAUAGGCGUUCCGAUCCCUUGCGUCGGACGUUCUUCUUAGAGGGACAAGCGGCGUUUAGCCGCACGAGACAGAGCAAUAACAGGUCUGUGAUGCCCUUAGAUGUCCGGGGCCGCACGCGCGCUACACUGAAGGAAUCAGCGUGUGCUCUCCCUGUCCGGUAGGACUGGGUAACCCGUUGAACCUCCUUCGUGAUAGGGAUAGGGGCUUGUAAUUGUUCCCCUUGAACGAGGAAUUCCCAGUAAGCGCGAGUCAUAAGCUCGUGUUGAUUACGUCCCUGCCCUUUGUCCACACCGCCCGUCGCUACUACCGAU
rnacentral:rRNA from 1 species